CUCCUUCCGGGUGCAGGCGGGCCUGGGCAGUCUGAGUCCUACCUCAGCCCCCACCUCACCUCCCUGCAUCCUCCUAGCAUCUCUGCAGGGCUAGCCCAGAGGUUGGCGGCGGAAGGCCCACAGCUCCCCUGGCUCCAUGGGCAAUGACCGAACAGCCCUUCACCUCUCUGGGCCUUGUUUUCUCAAACUGAAACUGGAGAGGAUGACCCCAGCCUGGGACCUUCGAGGGCCUCAAAAGGGCUCUGGGCCUUGCGUGAGACAGAGUCUGAAUCUGUGACCUAGUCUGGAGUGCAGUUGCAAGAUCACAACUCGCUGCAACUUCAACCUCCUGGGCUUAAGCAAUUCUCCUACUUCAGCCUUCUGAGUAACUGGGACUACGGGUGUGUGCCACCACACCUGGCUAAUUAUUUUGCUUGUUUUUUGUACAGACAGAGUCUUGCUGUGUUGCCCGGGCUGGUCUCGAACUCCUGGGCUCAAGUGAUCCUCCCGCCUUGGCCUCCUGAAGGGCUGAGAUGACGGCAUGAGCUGCCUCACGCAGCCCCCAUUCUACACCUCUGAAGUGAGUUUACAUGGUACAGUUGCUGUCUGGCUAGCUGCCGUCCCAACAUCACUGUCAGGACCCACACCUGAAAAGCACCAGCAUCAAAUCCUUCAGAAGAGUGUCAGCAGCUUGGAAGAAAUCCUAGAGGCAAGCAGAACCCUUUUUAGCCCUGGGACUCAAAUGGUGGGAAACCCCAGGGGAAGGGAACCAGGCUUGUCAGUGACACUCCCUUUUUUUUUUUUUUUUUUUUUUUGGUGAGACGGAGUCUCGCUGUGUCUGUCGCCUAGGCUGGAGUGUAAUGGUGCAAUUUCGGGUCACUGCAACCUCCGUCUCCCGGGUUCAAGCAAUUCUCCUGCCUCAGCCACCUGAGUAGCUGGGAUUAUAGGCACCUGCCACCACGCCCAGAUGCUUUUUUGUGUUUUUAGUAGAGACAGGGUUUCACCAUGUUGGCCAGGCUGGUCUCGAACUCCUGACCUCAGGCAAUCCACCCACCUCGGCCUCUGAAAGUGCUGGGAUUACAGGUGUGAGCCACCACGCCCGGCCUGUCAGUGACACUCCUAGAGCAGAGUGAAAACUCGGCUCCACUUCAUCUGCACAAUUGUAAAGCUGGCUUAAGAGCGCCUGGCUGUUUUAUGGAAUGUUUGGAGCAGUACUGCUCUCCGUAGAACUCUCAAGGACUCAGAGAAGGAGGUGGCAGGCAGACACAGACAUCACGACUCUCAGACCAAAAAUGAUUCAAACAAGUUGGACUCUAAAUGUGAAGGAGUUUUCUGAACAUGGUAACCAAUUUAUUUUGCUUCUAUUAUCCUUUUUAUGUGUGCAUGAGAAUUAUAUAUGAUAAGAAUCUACAUUUAAGUGAAACAGAGCUCUUUCGAGAAAUACAAAAGAAAAAUUCUAGUGAUGAAAGAACCUUGGGACAUCGUUAACUGGCAGCAUUCUCUUUUCUUAGUGACAUUUUUAUAAUCGAUGACAUCUUAGUUUUUUUUUGUUUUUUGUUUUGAGACAGGAUCUCUGUCACCCAGGCUGGAGUGCAGUGAUGCAAUCACAACACACUGUAGCCUCAACUUCCCUGGCUCAAGGGAUCCUCCCACCUCAGCCUCCUCAGUAUCUGGGACCACAGACAUCCACCAUCCACCCAACUAAUUUUUGUAUUUUUUGUAAAGAUGGGGUUUCACCAUGUUGCCCAGGCUGGUCUUGAACUCCUGAUCUCAAGCAAUCCGCUUGCCUUGACCUCCCAAAGUGCUGGGAUUACAGGCGUGCACCACUACAUCUGGCCAACAUCUUAGAUUUGAUGAAAUAUGGCGUAAUAAUGACAUCAUAGCAAACACGGGCUUCCCUUGAGCUAGGCAUGGUUGUAAGUGCUUUACACUUACUAACGUGUUGGCUCUGGACUAGUCUGUGAAAUAAGGACUAUGGAUUAUCUCCAUUUUAUAGAGGAGGGAACAGAGAGGUUAAGUAAUUUGCCUAAGGUCACACAGCUUUUAAGUGGCAGAGCCAACUAAAAGAAGGCAGUGGGGCAAGAGUGCAAGGAGCAAGGGGCACCCAUAGUCAAGGUGAGCUGGGCUUGACCAGGCCACAGGAAGCCAUGCAGGAUUGGUAGCAGAGGAGCACAGCCAGCUGUUCAGCCCUUUUGAAAUACCUCUGGAAAUGGGAGUGAUCCUCUCAUUGUUGCCAGAAUUCCAGGCCUUGAUGCCCAGCACAAGCCUUCAUUAAAUGUCCCUGGGGUGAUUAUUAUUAUUAUUAUUAUUAUUUUUGAGACAGAGU
rnacentral:lncRNA from 1 species